GAUGAACGCUGGCGGCGUGCCUAAUACAUGCAAGUCGAGCGAACAGACGAGGAGCUUGCUCCUCUGACGUUAGCGGCGGACGGGUGAGUAACACGUGGAUAACCUACCUAUAAGACUGGGAUAACUUCGGGAAACCGGAGCUAAUACCGGAUAAUAUAUUGAACCGCAUGGUUCAAUAGUGAAAGACGGUUUUGCGGUCACUUAUAGAUGGAUCCGCGCCGCAUUAGCUAGUUGGUAAGGUAACGGCUUACCAAGGCGACGAUGCGUAGCCGACCUGAGAGGGUGAUAGGCCACACUGGAACUGAGACACGGUCCAGACUCCUACGGGAGGCAGCAGUAGGGAAUCUUACGCAAUGGGCGAAAGCCUGACGGAGCAACGCCGCGUGAGUGAUGAAGGUCUCCGGAUCGUAAAACUCUGUUAUUAGGGAAGAACAAAUGUGUAAGUAACUAUGCACGUCUUGACGGUACCUAAUCAGAAAGCCACGGCUAACUACGUG
rnacentral:rRNA from 1 species